CUUUUACUUCAUCCUUUCCUUUGUACGUCAGACGAUCAAGAAUAGCAGUUGAACUGCUCCUGCACAUGGUCAGAAAAAGCAAAGAAGCAGUAGAGGAGAAGAAAAAAGAACUCCAGCAAGAAAGAGUUCUGGAGAAAGGGCCACAGGAAAAUUGCAAUGAUUUAUCUAGCAAAUACAGCUAUUCAAGCAAGUCAAAGUUUUGUGAAAUCUCAGAGACCAAUGGCCAUCAAGUGUUUGAUAAAAUGUCUAUGUGAAACUUGGGAUAGCAGAGAAAACACGGAAAGAAUGAUCGCACAGGAGUGCUAAUAGGCUUGUCAAGAGUAUUGGAACUGGUGGAGUUGCGAGCAGAAGUCAACAAACUGUUGUGGGUUCUGGGGUUGGAAAAGAAAUUGUCCCCCAGUCAUCUAAGCCAGCUCAAGAGAAGAAGCCCUAGGUUUCUACUGCUAAUGAUCAUGCUACAACCCCUGCUACUAAAAACUGUUGGCUUAAGACCAAAAAAUCUAUCCAUAUUGAGAUAGAAUGUACCAUUAGAUGCCUAUCAUGCAAGGAAGAAACUGGAGUUGAAGCGAGGUGUUGCUUGGGAUUUGUGGUAAAUGAUGUAACAAGAUCUUUACAUGCUGCAAUUUUCAGUCCAUAUGUUGAGAAAUUGUUAUCAUAUACCGCUCUUCGCCUAGCCAUGAUGACCAAGGGUUACAAUGGUUUGUUCCAUCUAUGCUUUUAAUCUGGAAAAUCCAAGGACAAAAGGACAACGAAGAACCACACUAUCAAAGCAUACACUACUGAGGUUGGCGGUCAAAUUUCGAUAGCAAUCCCAAAUGAAGAUCACAAAAGAUGUUCCCAAAUUUCAUAUCAUUGCUCAGGAUCCUUUAUGAUGGUGUUCUCCUAAAGAACUUGAUCGAAUAAAUGCAAGUUAGCAAUCUAAUUAGUGGGCAGUCAGUAUUUCAAUUUAUAGUUGUCUAGAAUAUAGCACUACUAGAAAGUUUUUGACUGCCUGCUGAAUUACUUGGCAGUGGGAAAGUAGAAAAGAUGUUACUAUUGAACCAAUGCUCAGUUUUUAAACUAUGUUGUUAU